rnacentral:rRNA from 1 species
AGGACGAACGCUGGCGGCGUGCUUAACACAUGCAAGUCGAGCGAGGCCCCUCCUUCGGGAGGGUGUCCUAGCGGCGAACGGGUGAGUAACACGUGGGCAACCUGCCCUCAGCUCUGGGAUAACCCCGGGAAACCGGGGCUAAUACCGGAUACGACCUCCUUAGGCAUCUGAGGUGGUGAAAAGUUUUUCGGCUGAGGAUGGGCCCGCGGCCUAUCAGCUUGUUGGUGGGGUGAUGGCCUACCAAGGCGACGACGGGUAGCCGGCCUGAGAGGGUGACCGGCCACACUGGGACUGAGACACGGCCCAGACUCCUACGGGAGGCAGCAGUGGGGAAUAUUGCGCAAUGGGCGAAAGCCUGACGCAGCGACGCCGCGUGAGGGACGAAGGCCUUCGGGUUGUAAACCUCUUUCAGCAGGGACGAAGCGAAAGUGACGGUACCUGCAGAAGAAGCACCGGCCAACUACGCGCCAGCAGCCGC